AUUGAACGCUGGCGGCAGGCCUAACACAUGCAAGUCGAGCGAGCGGCGGACGGGUGAGUAAUGUAUGGGGACUGCCCGAUAGAGGGGGAUAACUACUGGAAACGGUAGCUAAUACCGCAUACUAUCGGAUCACCCAUCUGGGAUUAGCUAGGAGGUGAGGUAAUGGCUCACUUAGGCGACGAUCCCUAGAGGGUCUGUGAGGAUGAUCGGCCACACUGGGACUGGGACACGCCCCGGAGCCCUACGGAGGCAGCGGUGGGGAAUAUUGCACAAUGGGCGAAAGCCUGAUGCAGCCAUGCCGCGUGUAUGAAGAAGGCCCUAGGGUUGGAAAGUACUUUCAGUCGGGAGGCGUUACCGACAGAAGAAGCACCGGCUAACUCCGUGCCAGCAGCCGCGGUAAUA
rnacentral:rRNA from 1 species